GAGGACACAGCUAAUGUAAUAAUGGGGAAGGACACUAGAUAAUGUAAUUAGGGGGCACAAAGCGGUGUCUAGAUGGUCACAAGCUGUCUUCCUGUCCUCCUGUCUUCCGUCAGGUUGAGGGGACUGAGGACGAAGACCAGCAGGCUGCAGAGCCAGACAGGACCAAAGCAGCAGAAUCAGAGACAGCAGAAACAUCAACAACAUCCACGUCAACCCCAGGCCCAGCAGAGAACCACUGUGGAGGAGGAGGAAGAGGAGGAGAGGAGGAGGCAAUAACCAUCAACCUCCAGCCCUCGAACGCCUAUGAGUUCAACCAGUCCCUGAACGCAGCGCGGGCCCAGUCCAACCUCCCAGCCUGUGCUGAGCUGCUGAGCCGUGUUCCCCCUGAGACUCUGCCCGUCUACCUCAGUAAUCAGCUGGAUGGACACACGGUCAGCUUCAUUUUGCAGACCCUGGACACACAGCUCCUACAGAAGGACCCGAACCUCGUCUACCAGCACCUCAACCAUCUACACACUGCUGACAGGUUCUCGGUCGUCAUGAUGCUGCUAAAGAGUGAACAUGAUCAGAUGACGCGACUGUUUGACCGUCUGUCUGCUGUAGACAGUGAUGCCUUCAGUAAGAACGAUGUGCAGAACCUGGCCAACAAGUACAAAAUGACCUCUAACCUCUGACCCUGUCUGGCCUGCUGGAGCGCAUCCCAAUAGGUCCCUAUUACCGAGUGCACUAUGGGGGAAUAAGGCACCAUUUGGAAACAGCCGACUUUAAACACGAGUCCAGACUGCAAAUCACUUUGCGUCCGAAAUAACUACUCAAUAUUAUUUUUGUAGUCAAGUCACAAUUUACCCACGAUACAGCACGGUUUGAUGUUCUCCAAUGCGACCCUUCACUCUGUCCUGCGUGAAGCUCCCAACAUGCCGUACUGGAUCAUGCAACGCUGCACAAACCGACUCAGAAACUGCUGCUCAAGCAUACGGACCCAACACUCGAGCAUCAAUGACGCAGACUACCGACCCGAACCGUACUAGCGACAUCGACGACAGACGCACGAAGACCGAACGAGCAGCAGCAUUAGACAAACGCAGAUCGACGGCCAGACAACCGACCUCAAACCGACUCAGAAGAACGUCGUCAGAGCAUUACGGACCCAAACCGACUCAGAAGAACGUGCUAGAGCAUUACGGACCCAAACCGACUCAGAAGAACGUGCUCAGAGCAUUACGGACCCAAACCGACUCAGAAGAACGUGCUCAGAGCAUUACGGACCCAAACCGACUCAGAAAACGUGCUCAGAGCAUUACGGACCCAAACCGACUCAGAAGAACGUGCUCAGAGCAUUACGGACCCAAACCGACUCAGAAGAACGUGCUCAGAGCAUUACGGACCCAAACCGACUCAGAAGAUGCUGAACGUGCUCAGAGCAUUACGG
rnacentral:lncRNA from 1 species